AACGGGUGAGUAACACGUAAGCAACCUGCCUUUAAGACGAGAAUAACAAUUGGAAACAGUUGCUAAGGCUGGAUAGGAAAUAAAAAGGCAUCUUUUUAUUUUUAAAAGACCUUUUUCGGAAGGUAUGCUUAAAGAGGGGCUUGCGUCACAUUAGUUAGUUGGUAGGGUAAAGGCCUACCAAGACGAUGAUGUGUAGCUGGACUGAGAGGUUGAACAGCCACAUUGGGACUGAGACACGGCCCAAACUCCUACGGGAGGCAGCAGUAGGGAAUUUUCGGCAAUGGAGGAAACUCUGACCGAGCAACGCCGCGUGAACGACGAAGUACUUCGGUAUGUAAAGUUCUUUUAUUGAAGAAGAAACAAUAGUGGAAAAACUAUCUUGACGUUAUUCAAUGAAUAAGCCCCGGCUAACUAUGUGCCAGCAGCCGCGGUAAUACAUAGGGGGCGAGCGUUAUCCGGAAUUAUUGGGCGUAAAGGGUGCGUAGGCGGUUUAAUAAGUCUCUAGUUUAAUUUCAACGCUUAACGUUGUCCUGCUAGAGAAACUGUUUAACUAGAGUGAGAUAGAGGUAAGCGGAAUUCCAUGUGUAGCGGUAAAAUGUGUAAAUAUAUGGAGGAACACCAGAGGCGUAGGCGGCUUACUGGGUCUUUACUGACGCUGAUGCACGAAAGCGUGGGGAGCAAACAGGAUUAGAUACCCUGGUAGUCCACGCCGUAAACUAUGAGUACUAAGUGUCGGGGUUAAACUCGGUACUGAAGUUAACACAUUAAGUACUCCGCCUGAGUAGUACGUACGCAAGUAUGAAACUUAAAGGAAUUGACGGGAUCCCGCACAAGCGGUGGAUCAUGUUGUUUAAUUCGAAGAUACACGAAAAACCUUACCAGGUCUUGACAUACUCUGCAAAGCUAUAGAAAUAUAGUGGAGGUUAUCAGGGAUACAGGUGGUGCAUGGUUGUCGUCAGCUCGUGUCGUGAGAUGUUAGGUUAAGUUCUAAAACGAGCGCAACCCCUGUCGUUAAUUGCCAGCACGUUAUGGUGGGGACUUUAGCGAGACUGCCAAUGAAAAAUUGGAGGAAGGUGGGGAUUACGUCAAAUCAUCAUGCCCCUUAUGAUCUGGGCUACAAACGUGAUACAAUGGCUAUUACAAAGAGUAGCUGAAACGCGAGUUUUUGGCAAAUCUCAAAAAAAUAGUCUCAGUUCGGAUUGAAGUCUGCAACUCGACUUCAUGAAGUUGGAAUCGCUAGUAAUCGCGAAUCAGCAUGUCGCGGUGAAUACGUUCUCGGGGUUUGUACACACCGCCCGUCAAACCACGAAAGUGGACAAUACCCGAAAGCGACAGCCUAACUGCGUAAGCAGAGGGAAUCGUCUAAGGUAGGGUCGAUGAUUGGGGUUAAGUCGUAACAAGGUAUCCCUACCGGAAGGUGGGGAUGGAUCACCUCCUUUCU
rnacentral:rRNA from 1 species